rnacentral:ncRNA from 1 species
UAUAAUAUUGUUUUAUUUUUGCAAAUAAAUUUAAUUAUAGUAUAUUUUACAUGUAAAUAUUUGUGUGAAUUAUUUUUAUCUAAAAGAUAAAAAAAAUUUUAUAUUAUUCUCAGUAAUUGAUAUUAAUUAUUAAAGAAAUUUAGAAUUAGUAAUAUUAUUUAGUAUUGGCAAAAUUUGUGCCAGCUGCUGCGGUUAUACAAAAAAUACAAAUAAAAGUUUUUAGAUUUUAGUUAAAUUUUAAAUUUGUAUAUAAAAAAAUAAAAUUUAUUAGGUGAAAUUUUAAAUUUUAAAUAUUAUAUAAUUAAAAAUAUAAAAUAUUGAAGCUAAGAAAUUUUAAUUAUAAACUAGGAUUAGAUACCCUAUUAUUUAAUAUGUAUAUUUACACAAUCUAGAUUAAUAAUAGUUAUUAUCUUAAAAUUUAAAAAAUUUGGCGGUAUUUUAGUCUAUUCAGAGGAAUCUGUUUUAUAAUCGAUAAUCCACGUUGGACCUUACUUAAAUUUGUUUAGUUUGUAUACCGUUGUCAUCAGAAUAUCUUAAAAAAGUAAUAAUUUUCUAAAAUUAUUAAUAUAAAUUAUGUCAGAUCAAGGUGCAGCUUAUAUUUAAGUAAAAAUGGAUUACAUUAAAAUUAUUUAUACGAAUUUUGAAUUGAAAUAUUUAAUUAAAGGUGGAUUUGAUAGUAAAGUUAAUUAUAGUAAUAAUUUGAUUUUAGCUCUAAAAUAUGCACAUAUCGCCCGUCGCUCUCGUUAUUAAAAUGAGAUAAGUCGUAACAUAGUAGAUGUACCGGAAGGUGUUUCUAGAAUGA